UUAAUUUUUUUCUUAAAAAAAAAAAAAAAAGUCUCUCUCUCCCUUCUUCCCUCACCCAACCUCUUCCUUCUCGUUUUGGUUUUUCUUCACACUGCCAACGCCCACGCAGCCGUUGCCACCGUCCGACGAGCCGAGGCGCCGUCGAGUUCGUCAGAUCUGAAGCUGUUCACCGCGUCGCUUCCCUCAGGCGCCGCCCAGCCCUCAGCCGCCAGCCGCGACCAUCUGCUCCAACCCAGCCGCGCGUCAGAUCUGAAGGCCCCAACCGCGAGCGUCUGUCGCCCACGCUGUUCGCGAGUCUCUAGCUGUUCGAUCCGUCAGCGUCGCCUUGGUUUGCGCCGCUUUACCUUUUCUAAGCGCUUCAGUCUGCCCGGCAUUGAAGUCCUAGCUGUAAGUCUUCAGCCACCCUACGCUGCCCGUCGGUCCAUCUGCUAGUCGCCACUCGUCGCACUAGCACCAGCCUUCAGCCUGAUGCCCAGUGGCCCAGUCUCCUUCCCCGCACUAGUGCCGUUCGAGCCAGCCUUCUUUCGCCGCCGACGUGGUUUGGGUUUCGUUGAAUUCUGGAAUAAUUUGGAAUCAAGAAUUGAAAAUUUUGAGACAUUGCUUUGAAGUUUAAGACCAAUUCGAUGGAAAAAUUGGGUAAGGUGUCGCUUCAAGGCUCUGCUUGGCAAGAAAAGGAUAAGUUUGCUUGAACUAAUUUGGAUUUACUUUGAGGUAAAGGUAGAGAUUCACUGGCGAUUGACAAGCGGAAUUCGUGAUCGAGCCACUGGGACAAGCUCUAUGCUUCCGCUCAUGAUAUUUAGAUUUCUUUUCAUGUUUUUGAACUUUCAGUUUUGACGUUUGGAACUUACUAUUAAAAUUUAUUUUAAGAUCUAUUUAUUAUCAUUUAUGAUUUAUGGGUACCCUAUCAUUUGUUUUUAAUAUUUGAAUUUAAUGAAGG